UAUAUAGAGAGUUUGAUCCUGGCUCAGGAUGAACGCUGGCGGCGUGCCUAACACAUGCAAGUCGAGCGGAGCUGAUGAUUAGCUUGCUAUGAUUCAGCUUAGCGGCGGACGGGUGAGUAACGCGUGGGUAACCUGCCCUAUACAGGGGGAUAACACACCGAAAGGUGUGCUAAUACCCCAUAACACUGGAGUAUCGCAUGGUAUUUCAGUCAAAGAUUUAUCGGUAUAGGAUGGACCCGCGUCUGAUUAGCUAGUUGGUGAGGUAACGGCUCACCAAGG
rnacentral:rRNA from 1 species